ACGUAUGUCGCAAGCGUUAUCCGGAUUUAUUGGGCGUAAAGCGCGUCUAGGCGGUUUGGUAAGUCUGAUGUGAAAAUGCGGGGCUCAACUCCGUAUUGCGUUGGAAACUGCCAAACUAGAGUACUGGAGAGGUGGGCGGAACUACAAGUGUAGAGGUGAAAUUCGUAGAUAUUUGUAGGAAUGCCGAUGGGGAAGCCAGCCCACUGGACAGAUACUGACGCUAAAGCGCGAAAGCGUGGGUAGCAAACAGG
rnacentral:rRNA from 1 species